CAGUGAUUACGCCAGGAAAUAAGAAUCCCUGUGUAAGUGAAAAGAAUGGAUAAUGCUGUGUAGCUAUUGUCAAACUAAAGUAUAAUUUUUGCACUUUGCAGGUGAUCAUCAGAGCCAUACUGAAUUCUACGGCCAAUGCUGGCCGACUGUACCUAAUGAAUCGCUACGUCUUGGGUGUAAUUUUACAUGGCACAAUAGAGCAGAUGGCCAGGCAAGGGCUAAAAAGGUGACAUUUGAAGACUGUGAAGGAGCCAUUGGAUUUGUCAACAUUAGAAAUGCUCACUGGAAGUGUUUUGAUGGCACACUACUUUUUCAAACCGUAUCUUCGUGCCCUUUCAAACCACAUUUUUGUGAUUGAUCCUCUGCAAGGGUCAAAUGAAGUUGAGGACUCCAAACAGGCUGGCCAAAGAUUUGGACAAUACUUCAAGAUGCACCGGAACAGGUUUGGGAAGGAAGACUGGGUCGAUAUCAAGUGGCAGCCUGGAACAAUAACCCAUCCCUCCAGAAGGAUGGCACCAGUUGUGGGAUCUUUGUGAUGCAGGUCAUUGUAUGCAGUAUGUUGUCUGGAUAAUUAAUGAAAUAUGUUAUAUUAAUUGAAUAUGACCACACAGUAAAUUAACUGUUUUAACAUCUUGGCCAUCUGCACAGAUGGCCAAGAUGACGGUGAUGGGAUUUCCAAAUAUGCCAGAAAAAAAUUCUUCAAAAACUUAGGAGAGACAUGGCAGUAAAAAUUCUGAAAGGCUCAGGUACUGUUUGAAAUAUUUGAUUAAGGGGAUGAAAACUUCCUUGAAACUCAACAGUAAUGCUCUUUUUAAAUCUCUUAGUUUCAAGCAAUGAGUUCUGCUCCUUCUGUGGUAACAAAUACCUGCCUAUUGAUGCUGUUUGGGUGAGCAUUAAUGUUUAAUUGUUUUGAAACAGCAAUACAUGAUCUGAAUGGUGGAUUAUACAUAGGCUGGAGUAAAUUUCAGGGAUAAAAUAUAUGUAACCAGGUAGUGUGUACUGUAAUGCAUUGCAAAUUAAAAUAUUCUUAAUGUUAUUAAUAUUUGAUAACUUCAUAUUUAUCCCCAUGUAGAUGCAGUGUGGAGCCUGUACACGAUGGAUUCACACGCAUUUCCUGGGAAUGACAGUAGCACAAAUACCAAGCAAGGAUAGCCCGUGAUUUUGUGUGCUGUGCAACUAAGGACACUGUUGGUACUGUAUGUUGGGUAACUCGUACCAGGGGAAAGGGAGAUGUACGGCACAAGAAUUUUCUGAGCCACAAAUGUUAACUACAAGUUCUUAUUUUAUCAUCUUUUGGUUGAUGACGCAGAUUUAAAAUAUAGAUGGAAAUAUUGAAAAUUGUGGAACUGUCAUGCACAAAUUUACUGUUAAAACUGUACCUCACAUUUAUACAACAAGCUUGUAGGAGGGGCUUCUAUAUCGGACAUCAAACCUUCUAGGAAGUACAGUUUCAGAAAAUAUUAGAUGUGUGAAUCCUGUAUGUUAUGUCAAUUUGUGAAAGGAGGAGAAAGCCUCAAACAAUAUUCAAGUGAUUGGAAAACAAAUAGAGCUAAUUCCUGCAAGUUUCAGAAACUGAAAUUGAUUAUUGUAAAUAUGGAAAACAUAUUGAUCAAAAACCUUUACAGUGCACAGGAUUGAUGUUAGUUUUUUUAUUCCCUAUAAUUGAGCUCAAGCAUAUUUUUUGUCCAAAAUAAAAGCUGAAGUGUGACCAUGGUAAUUACAUCUUUGUGUGAGAGGAUUUUGGUGACUCUGCACUGUACAGUAGUGGAGUUAUUAAAAAUUAUUUAAAAUUAAAAUUCACCAAAAUUAUUUUAAAGCAUUUUUUGGCCCAAAUAAGAAGUGUAGUGUGACCAUGGGUAGUACAUCUUUGUGUGAGGUGAUUUUGGUGACUCUGCACUGUACAGUAGUGAAGUUAUUAAAAAUGAUUUCAAAUAAAAAUUCACCAAAAUUGUCUAAAA